AUUUAAGAAUUUAUUUAAAAUUUUAAUUUAUUUAAAUUUAAUAAAAAUAUUUAAUUUUUUAAUAUUAAAAAGAAAAAAUUUAAUUAAUUAUAGUGUAAAGUAUUGUGAAAGAAAGUUUAAAAAUUUUAAAAAGAAAAAUUUAAUUUUUGUACCUUGUGUAUCAGGGUUUAUUAGAAAAUAAUUUUAUAUUAAAUAUUCUCGAAUUUAAAAGAGCUAAUUGAUUAUAUAUUUUAUUGUAAAAUAAAUAUUUAAAAUAAUUAAUUUGAAAUGAAACGUUAUUCGUUUUUAAAUAUAUCUAGUUUUUAAAGAAAUGAAUUUAAUUCAUUUAUUAAUAAUUAAUAAUUUUAAUUUUUAAUUUAUUAUUAUUAAUAAGAAAGUUUUUUAGGGAUAAGCUUGAAAAAUAAUAUUUAUAAUAAAAUUGUUAUUAAAUAAUUUAUAGGAUUAAAAAUUUUUAUAAUUAAGAGUUUGUUAUAAUUCAUUAUUUUGAAAAUAUAAUUUAUAUUUUAUUUAAGUUUUAUAUUUAAAUAUAAAUUUUAAUUUAUGAAAUUUAGUAAUAAUGAUAAAAUUAGUAAAGAUUAAUGUAUAUUUAAAUUUAAUUUUAAGGUUAAUUUAAGGAAUUCGGCAAAUUUAUUUUUCACCUGUUUAAUAAAAACAUGUCCUUUUGAUAAUAAUUUAAGGUCUAAUCUGCCCACUGAGUAGUUAAAUGGCCGCGGUAUUUUGACCGUGCAAAGGUAGCAUAAUCAUUAGUUUCUUAAUUAGAAGCUGGAAUGAAUGAUUGGAUGAGAAAAUAACUGUCUCAAAUUAAUUUUUUUUGAAUUUUAUUUUUAAGUUAAAAAGCUUAAAUUUAAUUAAAAGACGAGAAGACCCUAUAGAGUUUAAUUUUAAAAUUUAAUUUUAAGUUAUUGUUUUUACUGUUAAAAUUUGAUUUUAAAAUUUUGUUGGGGUGAUAGAAAAAUUUAAUUAACUUUUUUUAAAUUUAAACAUUAAUUAAUGAAAAAUUGAUCCAAAAUUUUUGAUUAAAAGAAUAAAUUACCUUAGGGAUAACAGCGUAAUUUUUUUUAAGAGUUCAUAUCGAAAAAAAAGAUUGCGACCUCGAUGUUGGAUUAAAAUUAAUUUUUGGUGUAGAAGCUAAAAAAUUAGGUCUGUUCGACCUUUAAAAUUUUACAUGAUCUGAGUUUAAACCGGUGUAAGCCAGGUUGGUUUCUAUCUUUAAUUAGUUAAAAUAUUUUAGUACGAAAGGACCAAAUAUUUAUUAAAUUAAUUUUAUUUUGAAUAUUAUU
rnacentral:rRNA from 1 species